rnacentral:rRNA from 1 species
AUUGAACGCUGGCGGCAUGCUUUACACAUGCAAGUCGAACGGUAACAGGCCGCAAGGUGCUGACGAGUGGCGAACGGGUGAGUAAUGCAUCGGAACGUGCCCAGUCGUGGGGGAUAACGCAGCGAAAGCUGCGCUAAUACCGCAUACGAUCUAUGGAUGAAAGCGGGGGACGGCAAGGCCUCGCGCGAUUGGAGCGGCCGAUGUCAGAUUAGGGAGUUGGGGGGGUAAAGGCCCACCAAGCCUACGAUCUGUAGCUGGUCUGAGAGGACGACCAGCCACACUGGGACUGCGACACGGCCCAGACUCCGACGGGAGGCAGCAGUGGGGAAUUUUGGACAAUGGGCGCAAGCCUGAUCCAGCAAUGCCGGGUGCAGGAAGAAGGCCUUCGGGUUGUAAACUGCUUUUGUACGGAACGAAAAGGUUUGGGUUAAUACCCUGGGCCGAUGACGGUACCGUAAGAAUAAGCACCGGCUAACUACGUGCCAGCCGCCGCGGUAAGAC